rnacentral:lncRNA from 1 species
ACUCCGGUACAAGUCAUAACCAUAUCCAGAUCUGGUUUGUAUAGGUGACUGAGAUAACCUCAGCCUCAUCUCAGGAAGUGGCCACUUUUGGAGAGUCCGACUAUCACGGUAGGCACAGAACUCUGCCAUGUCACUAGCUGAAUGACCUCGGAUGUCACUUCAACUCUGAGCCUUAGAACUUGUCAACUGCAAAGUGGGGCACUUCACCGAGCUACAUCAUUGAGCUACUUCACUGAGCUACUUCAUUGAAUUGGGAAAAUUAAAGGAGCAAAUAUGGGAGAAGGAUUUGGCCCAUAGUAAACACUAUGACUGUCCGUCUUCUGCCAUCUUUCAGUAGACCCAGUGGAAUUAUAUGAAGGUUGAUAGGCACUUAAACCAAGAAUAUAUGAACAUCUAUUCUGUGCAAGAUGUGUGCAUUGAACUCAGUCCAGGACUGAAGGGGACAGGAGGAAGCAAACUUGGAAAUCAUGUCUUAGAGAUCAAGGAGCCAAGAGAUGAGACAAGCCUGGGUUCCUAGGUGAUAGGGUGUGGCUGUGUCCCCACCCAAAUCUCGUCUUGAAUUGUAGCUCCCAUAAUCCCCACAUGUUGUGGAGGGACCCUGUGGAAGAUUGUGCCUGCAGCCUGGCCUGUUGCCCACAGCGGUCUACCUGCCACACUGGGAAAGAUCGAGCAGAGACAGAGAAGAAAAGGAGGCUCCAUUUUUCAGGCUGCUCUCCCGCAGGCUCAUGUUUUGUGUUCAUGCCAGGCAGAGAACACAAAAUGUUCCAAUAAAUAAGUAUCAAAGGUUAGUGGUGAAAAUGAAGGAGGAGGAGGCAUUGCGUGAAAAACUAAACAUGCAAAAUAUUACACACAAAGAGAACCAAAAUGCAGGUUCACUGGAAAUGAUAGACAAUAUGUUAAAACAAGAGGAGAGAAGAGAGCUGAAAUAAUCAAAUGGAAACACACAAUUUAGGGCUAAGAUCUUGUUGUGUUCAGCCACAAAUGAUGGCCAGCAGUGAGGAAUCUGUGUGUUCUCCACACUCUUCGCUCCUGGGAAGUCAACUCACAUGGACCAUGAUAUCAAUAUCUGCUCCUUCCCCUAAUAUCUGUUUGACCUUGGGUCAGUUACUUAAACUUCCUAAGCCUUAGUUUCUUUGUCUGGAAAAUAGGGAUAGUUAUACCUACCACACAACCACUUUGUAAUGAAUAUGUUGGAAAUUAUAUGCAAAUUGGCUUCCGUUGGUGUUUGGAACAUAGUAGGUUUUUAACUGGAAUAUAAUAGCUACCAUUAUCAGUAUCAUCAUAUUAAUUUAUAUUUCCAUCUUCAGCCCUUAACCCAGGAUCUUCAGUAAAUGUUGAAUUCUCAAAUUUGUUAAAUUCACUUGUCUAUACUAAUAUUUUACUCUAGGUUUCUUAGAAUAUUCUAGAUAAUAUUAUUAUGUAGAAUAUGUUAUGUAAGCUUCAUCUUAUCUGUAAAUAUAGUUUUACUUUUUCCUUUCUAAUUUUUAUGUCGAUUACUUCUUUUUCUUGGCUUAUUGAAUUGGCUAGGAUUCCCGUACAGUGUUGAAUACGUGCAGCAAGACUGCACAUCUUGCCUUGUUCCUGGUCCCACAGAGAGAAUAUCCAGUACUUCACAAUAAGUAUGUGUUAAUUGUAGAUUUUAUUAGAUUGAGGAAGUUCCCUUUCCUUUCAAGUCAGUCUUUUUAUUUUAAACAUGUAUUGAAGUUUUGUCAAAUGUCUUCAUCUAUUGGAAUAAUUAUACAUAUCUCUUUUUUAUUCUGUUAAUAUUACAUUUCAAUCUUCUGUCUACCUAAAAUCCCUAGAAUAAUCUCCAUUUGGCUAUGAUGUGUUGUGCUUUUAUAUAUUACUGAAUUCUAUAUGCCAAUAUUAUUAAAAUUUUCUGUCUUUAUGAGAAAUAUUUGAAUGUAUAUUUUUUCAUGUAUUUGUUUUGAUUUUAUUUUCAAUGCCAUUUUGUAAAAGAGCAUUAAAGUGUUAGUAUGA